UUUCUUUUUGAAUUUAUAAAAAGUAAGGCCUGCCCACUGAUGUUUUAAAGGGCCGCGGUACUUUGACCGUGCAAAGGUAGCAAAAUCAUUAGUCUUUUAAUUGAAGGCUGGAAUGAACGGUUUAAUGAAAUAAAUGCUGUCUCAAAUUUAUAGAUUUGAAGUUAACUUUUUAGUAAGAAGGCUAUAAAUACUUAUAAAGGACGAGAAGACCCUAUAGAGUUUUAUUUAAUAUAUAUUUAGUUUAUAUUUAGAUGUAAAUAAUAAAUUGAUUAUUUAUUAUAAUUUGUUGGGGUGACAUGAAGAAUUAAUAAACUCUUUAUUUAUGUUAAACAUAGAUUAAUGGUUAAUUGAUCCAUUAUUAUUGAUUAAGAGAUUAAAUUACCUUAGGGAUAACAGCGUAAUUUUUUUUGAGAGUUCUUAUCGACAAAAAAGAUUGCGACCUCGAUGUUGGAUUAAGAAUAUUAUUAGGUGUAGCAGCUUAAUAAAUAAGUCUGUUCGACUUUUGAAUUCUU
rnacentral:rRNA from 1 species